rnacentral:rRNA from 1 species
GAUGAACGCUGGCGGCGUGCCUAAUACAUGCAAGUCGAGCGAACAGGUGAGGAGCUUGCUGCUCUGACGUUAGCGGCGGACGGGUGAGUAACACGUGGAUAACCUACCUAUAAGACUGGGAUAACUUCGGGAAACCGGAGAUAAUACCGGAUAAUAUAUUGAACCGCAGGGUUCAAUAGUGAAAGACGGUUUUGAUGGCACGUAUAGAUGGAUCCGCGCCGCAUUAGCUAGUUGGUAAGGUAACGGCUUACCAAGGCAACGAUGCGUGGCCGAUCUGAGAGGGCGAUCGGCCACACUGGAACUGAGACACGGCCCAGACUCCUACGGGAGGCAGCAGUAGGGAAUCUUCCGCAAUGGGCGCAAGCCUGACGGAGCCACGCCGCGUGCGUGAUGAAGGUCUUCGGAUCGUAAACCUCUUUUAUUAGGGAAGAACACAUGUGUAAUUAACUAUGCACGUCUUGACGGUACCUAAUCAGAAAGCCCCGGCUAACUACGUG